UAAUAUUAAUAUAUUUGUACUUGCCAAAGAGCGUUGUGUGGAAUCAAUCAUGUUAUUUUGGGGAAUUAAAAAGAACAUUGAUAUAGGAAAACGGGUCAAUUUGACCCAAAAACAACAUGAGGGUUAAUGUACACAGUGUUAGCAUGGUUAGCAUUGCUAAGCCUCUGUCCUGAUUGACAAUCCCUAGAGCAUCCCCUGCUUUAUCUCUAUUUAAAAUAAAUGGGACCAUUAUUUACAAAAUCAACAAUGAUGUUCAUCCUUGGCACCUUCGAGCUCUGACUCCUCCCGAAAUAAGAAAUACAAAGACACUUUCAAAGAAUCUAAUGACAUUAUGCACAUAAUGUGGAUUACCAUGCCAAAGGUAUACACGCACGGAGCAGAGGAUGGAGCUGGUGGACACCUGAACGCAUCUCCAGAGGAAUAUUUGCACUACAUAUGCAGUGAAACUAAAGUCUGAGAGAGUGCAUAUACAGUACUGUAGUACUGCACUGUGUGUGUGUGUGUGUGUGUGUGUGUGUGUGUGUGUGUGUGUGUGUGUUUGUGUUUUAUGUGGUGAAUGUGAAGCUUUAGCCACUGAAAAGUAAUAAGAGGAGAAAUCAGGCCAAUCACAACAGCUGGUCAGUCUGAUGUCACGUUGCCUGAGCUCAUUACUAUUAAUGAGCUGGGUAAAGGAUGCUGAUAGCCAGGCUCUUAUUGGCUAGCUGUUAGCCAAUCAGAGUCAAGCAGCUUAGCUGGUUGAAUAUUAAUGAGAGCUGGCCCAAAUCGAGUCUUCCUGCAGGCUUUCUAAACCACGCUAGAAUGGCUUGAAACAAGGUAACCAAGUUACAAAGUCCAUGGUAGAACUUCAGACAUUUUCCACAAAGUUAUGAAAUAUGCGUGGCAGGGCACCUUUAAUGUUUUUUGUGUGUGUUCCACAAAAUGACCAGUGUAAAACGAGCUGUUAUGACUGUUUCAUAUGAAAUACAUUGUUGCAGUGGCCUCUAGUGUAGCUGUAAUUAGCAGUGUGACAAUCAACCCCGGUCCCCCUUAAAUUGGAAACUUUAAGACAUUAGCUAUAGUGCUGUUGCUGAGUGCUUCUGUUCCUGAGUGGCCACAAUAUUGAUUUAUAUUACAUAUGUUUAUCAUUGAAGUUUGGAAUUUGUAGGAAACAUGGACGUGCACUUUUUCAUACAUGGCUAGAGGCACAAGCUGUCUUCUAGCCCAGAUGUCUUCAGUCGGUCGCUGCAGGCCCUGCUGUUUCUUCCUAUAGGCGGACUACGUGGAUGCAUAGGGCCUCCACAGCCUUUAGGGGGCCCCCAAGCUGCAAGUUCAGCCCCUUCAGGCUCAAUAUAUUUAAAGAGAAAUAAAAUUACUUUUUUUCUGGCCAAUUAUAAAUAAACUUUUUUGAGGAAAAUCUGUUGCAUUUAUUGACGUAGAGCAGCCUCAUUGUUAUCAUUUGUGUAGGGUUAAAUUGCUUGGAUCAACUUGAGAUGUUUCAUUUAAGGUAUUUUACAAAUCUCGCCUGUUUUCCUCCUAAAGUGCAACAGAUUGAUGCAGCUCCAUGGAUCAUCUUAGAGGUCUGAAUCCCCCCCAUUGUAGUUUAACAAAAUAGGGGCCCCAAGGCAGUAUCUUGCAUAGGGCCCGCCAAUAGCUAGAAACGGCCCUGCCUGCAGAACAAACCCAUCCCAUCAUUCGUACUGAAAGUUGUCCCAAUCACUCCUGCUUAUCCAUCAAAUUCAGAUCUCAAAUGAACAUCAUAGGGCUUCUGAAGUUGUCUUCCUGGGCUGAGAAUCCUCAGCGUAUACAUGUAUGUGAAAGUAAAUAAUAAUAAUAAUACUAAACUAAUUAUUGCCCUACCUAUCUCCAUCAAACACAGUAGCCAGACUUUGUUGGGACGGCUAAACAGCAUGACAUCCUGACAGGUAGAAUUGCUUUCCAGUUUUCCAAAACCGCUGCAGGCUCGGUUAUUUCAGGGAGACCCCGGUGAGACGGAUGAAUGUAGACCUCUUUUAAGACCCCUUGGAUGUACUGAUCCAGCAGCAACUUGCCUCAGCCUCUUCUUCACUACGAGGCAGCUCAUGCAAAUACACAUCCAGUACAAAUCUGCUGGCCGUCAGACUGCAGGCAGUGGUGUCUGUUGUGUGUAAUAUAAGAAAAGUGAACGAUAAUUCAAAAAAUCUUGAUCUCCAAAAGCACUCACAGAUGUCAAUGUGAGACUGGGUUUUAGCUUUGCUUUGAUUAACUAAAAUCAGGGUUUCUACUGACAGAAAGAUGAUUUUUUUUUUCUAAAUUGUUCUUCCUUGCUGCUUAUGUGAACAAUUUCCAGUCUGGUUUCACUCCAGCUUGGAUGAAAAGCAUGUGCUGCAAUACAUGUACAAAGACAUGUACAAAGGUGGACCAAAAUGUCUUGCUCACAAUUCAGGUCUUUGCUCAUAGGAGCCCGUUCCCAUUGUAAGCUGUAGGUUUGUUUUAUCUGAUCCUUAUGUAAUAAAUAUCUACUAUGCAUAUGAA